rnacentral:rRNA from 1 species
ACUCAAAGGAAUUGACGGGGAUCCGCACAAGCGGUGGAGCAUGUGGUUUAAUUCGACGAUAAGCGAGGAACCUUACCUGGCUUUGACAUUACCCUGCAAGCGCUAGAGAUAGCGAAGCCUUCGAGGGUGGGUAACAGGUGCUGCACGGUUGUCGUCAGCUCGUGUCGUGAGAUGUUGCCUUAAGUGGCAGAACGAGCGCAACCCUUGUCGUGUGUUACUGUGUCACACGAGACUGCCAGGGUUUAACCUGGAGGAAGGUGGGGAUGACGUCAAAUCAGCGUGGCUCUUACAGCCAGGGCUACACACGUGCUACAAUGGGGUGUAACAAAGGGACGCCAAGUCGCAAGACGGAGCCAAUCCCGACAAACCACCCCUCAGUUCGGAUUGAGGGCUGCAACUCGCCCUCAUGAAGCUGGAAUCGCUAGUAACCGUGGAUCAGCCUCGCCACGGUGAAUACGUUCUCGGAUUUUGUACACACCGCCCGU